AAUGCUUUCCUUCCACCAAGUUUCCAGUCUGUUUAUUCAUUCUGAGAAGAGAAAUGGAGUCAACACAUGGAAUUGCUUGGAUGGACUGCACUGGAGACCAGAUUUUCAUCCAUUUCGUAUAAUCGCUCUGUGGUCACUUGAGAAGUUUUGUGCAGAAUCAGAGACAAACUUCUGCUUCCCCACCUGAUAAUUUACUUUUGAAUCUGCUGUAGAAAGUUAUGUAAAAUUCUACCAUAUGCUGGGCAAGUGAAGUAGUUUGAGGACAUCCCAAAAGAGAACACUGAAAAACAGCAGAUAAAAAACAAGGCUCUGAGGUUGAACAUACCUCUUUUCUAGUUAUACCCUAUGAAUUUAUCCUUGGUGAUUUGGAAAAAGCAUCAAGUAAACCUACCUGGAAGGCGAACAGUUGGCUGACCUAAACCAAACCACGCUCCUGGAAUGGGAAUAUUGCAGCAGUACAGCAGUGUAAAGUUCUCAUAUUUGAAUGCUUAUUAAAU
ensembl:lncRNA